GGGAAAGCCACAGUUUGUGUGAAUCGCAGAGAGCAAAAUGGCAAACUGAAGACACAAUCUCAUGACAAUAGAGACAUAAUAGACAUCUAUUCACCGAAUAAGUUAAAGAGGAGCUCUUUCUGAGAUGAAGAGAAUUCUCAAUGUCAAGAUUUGAACAAGAAGAGAAUGGAAUACACAAUAUGGACAUCCAUAAAAAUUCAUCAGAGAGCAUUUUACUACUGAGCUGCAAAGGGAAAAACUUAAAAUGGAUAUGAAAAGUGAAGAAAGUGAUCAUAGGAGAAAACCAUUUCAGGUGUCUGAUGAUUUGUGAGCCUCAAGUGACUACUCUGUGGAAUCAUCUGUCCUUGCCUUUGAAUUAGCUUUCCCUAGGCCAUGAGUCAACAUUAGUAGUUUAUACAUCCAAAUUGAUGACAAGAGCACCUCAAAGGCAGCAGCCUCAAGGAGCAGCCAUGGCCCCAGACUUGUCGCACGGAUGCAGAAAACUUAAUGGAGGAGGCUGAGGUCAGAAUGGGAAGAGUUUUUAAAAAAUAAAAAGGGGAGCUAAUAUGUGAGGAACUGAUUGCUGUGCAUUAUUUUCCACUGAACAGACCUUCUUUUAACUUCUAAUCUCAAGCACAUAGCAGCUGUUGUUUUCAUAUUAAAGAUCAGUAAGUGUUUGUUGAAUGAAUGUAUAAAUUCUUCCCCAAUCUCUGUUCCAUGUAAUAAGAACUAAGUUAGCAUUCAAUUAUAAAGAGGACUUAGAAAGUCUGCAGACAUUUUUGAUCAAAAAUCCUUUUAACUGUCUUCUUAUGGUUCCCGGUAACACCUAAGCCCAAAAAACUCAGGUCAUUUCUUGCCUGUACUGUUGCAAUAGCCUCAUAAUAACUAGUCUUCUCCUUUAUCAACCACAGUCGUCUCCGCUACACAAAGAAGAGAGGGUGCUAAUCUAAAGUGUAAAUUAUUUUAAAUCAGCACCCUUCUUGUAAUUUCCCAGUGGUUUUUCCUGUCAUAAGAAUAACAUGCAAAAUUCCUUGCUUGCAAAGCCAGGUAUGACCUUGCCCCGUCUACCUUACUGGCAUCGUCUCUCAUGACUCUUCCCCUUUUUCACUCUCCAUCUUGCCUUUUCCCAACCAUGCCUGCUAGUGAGCCUUAGCCCUUGUGUUUUCUCUGCCAGGGAUGCAUGACUGGCUUCUUUACUUUAUUCUGAUCUCUCUGCUCAAAUGUCAUCUUUUUAGAGAUAGCUUUCCUAAACAUCUUUAAAAGUACCCCAUGAACUGUGAAACACCUUUCCUGCUUUUUCUUCAUAGUACUUAUCACUUCCUGAUAUUAUGUUAGACAACAAGCAAAUAAGUAUAUGCUGUUCCCACUAAAAUAUAAGCUCCAUUUGAACAGGAGCCUUGAUUAUUCCUGAGUAUACCCCUAGUGCCCAGAACCUAGUAGGGCUUUAAUAAAUAUUAGAUUCAUUUGUUGAAUGAAAAAAUGAAUGAAUAAUUGAAUAAAGAUAUCCAGGUAGAGUGUCCGGGCAGCCCAACCUAUGUGAAGCCAGUACAAGAAUGUUUCUGUGACAUAGUGAGCGCAAUUAUUCCUCUAAAUGAUGAACUUGCAUGAGUACACAAGGAUAAAAUUAAGCACGUAGUUUAGAUUUCUGCAAGUCUCUUCCUCAGAUUGAGGAAAAACAAAGAAAUUGAGCUUAUUCUCACCUCAUUCUUACAUGAACUAAAUCCAGAAUAAAGCAUCAUUUAAAUACCAAGCACAUCCCUACCUCAGCCACUCAUGGAAUACUUUAUCUGUAAAGGGACAGAUAGAUAGUAAAUAUUUUUGGCUUUGGGGACCGUACAGUCUGUGUCGCCACUACUCAGCACUUCUGUUGAGGUGUGGAAUCAGCCCUAGACAACACAUAAACAAAUGGGUGUGGCUGUGUUCCAAUAAAAUGUUAUUUAUAAAACUAGGAAAUCAGCAGAUUUAGUCCACAGGCUGUAGUUUGCUGACCCUUGAAUUAGAGAGUCUUCCCCAAAUCCUCUUCCCAAGUUAUUGAAAGAAUGCCCAUAGGACCAUAGCUCCCUCACCUGGUUCUUUCAAGAAAUGAGACAAAUUCAGGGAUGGUUGGAGGGUGGAACGCCUACCUGUGACAUGACUAUUGAGCCUGAUUUCUUUCCUUUUAUCUCUUUAAAGUGAGUCAGGUCUUAACUUUAAACUGUCUCUAAAGUGGCAAUAACUGGGCCAUGUCAAAUACUCCCAAUGACAAAAUUUCUUCUUGGAGAAUGAAUGAGGGUUGCAUACAGUGGUGUGUUGGUAAAUGUUUAGCAACUGGCUCUCUUACUGAUUUCUGUAGUGUAAAUUCUCCCAUCCUGGCCAUCUGAAACUACCAAUAUGAUGUCACUUGAUGUAGAGUUGGGAAAAGACAGUCUCUUGAAUAAGUAUGAGCUGGUUCCAGCCCACUGCUGAACACAUAUUUAAAAGCUACAAUAGCUCUGCUCACUGCCAUUGCAGAGUCUGGAGGAAAGAGUAGCAGGCUUGAUAGGAGCAAUUGGCUGAAUAAUCUUUUGCAAUGCCAAUAAAUAAUGAAAAAGUAUAUAAAUAUAACGCUGUAUAGAAAGCUCUCAAGUUCAGUGUUUGGUUAAAAUACAUACUCAGUAAAUGGUAGCUAUUAUUGUCUUAGUUUAAGUUAUUGCAAGCAUUAAAAUUAAAUGUUUAGCUACAGACUCAAUCCAGUUUUAAUGUCAUUGUGUUAAUAAGGCCUCUUAACAUUGAAGCAACAAAGAUAAAGGAAUUUUUUUGUAGCUAUUCACGAUUCUGCCCAGCUCAAGGUAAAGAUAGCAACAAAAUACUCCAACCAGAAUAAAAGAAGUCUCCACUUGACUGCAGCUCUUCGCAACACUUCACAAGGGUCAAGCUGUGUUAGUUUCCUUCAGUGUUAAACAGAAUGCAUCUUAAGAGAAUAGUUCAAUUAUUGAUUGAAUAGUAGGUUCAAGUUGACUAUAAUCCCAACUAAUACACUCUAAGACCAGGGAUGGGCCGACAGAAGGGUAAAGUUUUCCACUCAAGUCUCGAGGCAAACACUCAGAUAGAAGUAGUAAUAUGGAUGCCUUCUAUUAUUUGGUCACAUACAAUACUGUUCCAGCCCAGUUGUGCAAAACUGGUGAAAUAAAAGGCAAAAAUAUUGACAACAGUUUGGGUAACUGGAUUCCAAAAUGGGCAUCCAUCUAAGAGAAAUUAAUGAAAAAAAAGCAUAUGGACCUUGAAAUACAUUAAUACACAGUUUAGGUUUAAACACUCAGUUUUUAUUAGAAAAGACUAACUUAUCCUGUUUUGAACACUACAAAAGUGCUUUCUGAACCAUUUACUCUCAAACCUCCUCCACCCAUUCCCCUCCAUCUAUAACGCUUUCUGCACAUCUGUAAAAGGUAUGACUUAGUGUUUGGUCUGUGAAAUAAGGUUAAAAAGGAAGCAUUUCUUUUUACAUUCUAGCUAAUGUUGAUAUUUUUCUCAUGCUUCUAUUAGCACAUAAUUCAGAUACAUUAGUUUUGAAGUUUUGAAUCUUCUCUGCUUCUUGAGGGCUCUCUGUUCUAGAUCAACAUGAUCUGUGGAACACCAGCCAAGUCCUGGGCAGAACCCUCCCCGUUGUCCAAAUAUUACUGAAUCAGUUGAGUUUUCUCUGUUGUCAAUGAAUUAUUCCACAUGUUUCUUUGGCUACAUUUUUUUUGGCUUUCUGUUCACAGUAAAUAUAGCCUUUGUUUUUAAAAACUUCUAUUAUGAAAAUUCCAAAUAUAUGCAAAUUAGAGAGAAUAGCAUAAUGAACCUCUAUGUGCUUAUCACACAUAUAGGUUCAACUAAUUAAAUUAUAUCAAUUUAUGGCCAAUCUGGUUUCAUUUAUAACAUCAUUCGCUCAUUCCUAACUCCCUGGAUUAUUUGAUUGACAUGUUUCUAAAGUUCCUUUUAAUCUGUAGGUUCCCCCUCUCAUUUAAUCUUUUGCAACUUAUUCAUUGAUGAAACUGGGUUAUUUGUCCUUUAUUGUUUCUCUCAUUCUGAAAUAUGCUGUAAUGUCAUUAACCAUAUUCUUCUUUCCUGUAUUUUCUGUAAGCUUUGAGCUAGGCAGAAAUAUUUUAAUCAGAUUCCUUUUUUUUUCUUUUAGCAAGAUUUCUUCAUAAAUA
rnacentral:lncRNA from 1 species